UCAGGUGGAUUUGGGUCUGAUUGGUAGGAAUUCUUCGUCCCCCGCCUCCACCGGCAGCUCGGGGAGUGUCGGCACUGCGUGGACCGGCGUGUCGCGCAGCUCCCCGCGACCGAACACCU